rnacentral:rRNA from 1 species
AGUGAACGCUGGCGGCAGGCCUAACACAUGCAAGUCGAGCGGCAGCGGGUCCUUCGGGCUGCCGGCGAGCGGCGGACGGGUGAGGAAUGCAUCGGAAUCUGCCCUGUCGUGGGGGAUAACCUAGGGAAACUUAGGCUAAUACCGCAUACGACCCACGGGUGAAAGCGGGGGAUCGCAAGACCUCGCGCGAUAGGAUGAGCCGAUGUCCGAUUAGCUAGUUGGCGGGGUAAAGGCUCACCAAGGCGACGAUCGGUAGCUGGUCUGAGAGGAUGAUCAGCCACACUGGGACUGAGACACGGCCCAGACUCCUACGGGAGGCAGCAGUGGGGAAUAUUGGACAAUGGGCGCAAGCCUGAUCCAGCCAUGCCGCGUGGGUGAAGAAGGCCUUCGGGUUGUAAAGCCCUUUUGUCCGGGAAGAAAACGUCUGGGCUAAUACCCCGGGGGGAUGACGGUACCGGAAGAAUAAGCACCGGCUAACUUCGUG